CACUUAUUCAUUCUCAGAUCAUGCUGAAAUUGUCUAUCUAAAACUAGCUCAGACUGCAUUUUUGAGAUAUUUAUUUUUUGGGCUCUAUCUACUAUAUUUAUUAUUUAAGGUUAUUUUUAGGUAUAGAAGUUUGUACAUAGCGAUCUACUAUUGUACAGCCCACUAUAUGUUUAUCCUGAUAAUUUUUGUGCUUUUCGUACACAGCACCCAAAUAUCUAUUUUUAUCUUAAUUAAUAAAAGUUAUAUUUUAUUUUAUUAGGACACUCAGAAUAUUCUUUGUUCUUUUCUCUUACUACUUUGGUAGUUUAUUGUGGGUUAACCCCACUAUGAGUGUUUCCCUUUAGCUUCCACAUCACUCUCUUUUCUUAUUGUAGGUACAGGCUCCAUCGUAG